AGUGAACGCUGGCGGUAGGCCUAACACAUGCAAGUCGAACGGCAGCACAGUAAGAGCUUGCUCUUACGGGUGGCGAGAGGCGGACGGGUGAGGAAUACAUCGGAAUCUACUUUUUCGUGGGGGAUAACGUAGGGAAACUUACGCUAAUACCGCAUACGACCUACGGGUGAAAGCAGGGGAUCUUCGGACCUUGCGCGAUUGAAUGAGCCGAUGUCGGAUUAGCUAGUUGGCGGGGUAAAGGCCCACCAAGGCGACGAUCCGUAGCUGGACUGAGAGGAUGAUCAGCCACACUGGAACUGAGACACGGUCCAGACUCCUACGGGAGGCAGCAGUGGGGAAUAUUGGACAAUGGGCGCAAGCCUGAUCCAGCCAUACCGCGUGGGUGAAGAAGGCCUUCGGGUUGUAAAGCCCUUUUGUUGGGAAAGAAAAGCAGCAGGUUAAUACCCCGCUGUUCUGACGGUACCCAAAGAAUAAGCACCGGCUAACUUCGUG
rnacentral:rRNA from 1 species